AAUCAACGCUGGCGGCGUGCCUCAGACAUGCAAGUCGAACGAUUAAAGCUCUCUUCGGAGAGUGCAUAGAGUGGCGCACGGGUGAGUAACACGUAAGUAAUCUACCUUCGAGUGGGGAAUAACGUCCGGAAACGGACGCUAAUACCGCAUAAUGCAGCGGCAUCGUAAGAUGACAGUUGUUAAAGAUUUAUCGCUUGAAGAGGAGCUUGCGGCAGAUUAGCUAGUUGGUAAGGUAAUGGCUUACCAAGGCUACGAUCUGUAACCGGUCUUAGAGGACGGUCGGUCACACUGACACUGAAUAACGGGUCAGACUCCUACGGAGGCAGCAGUCGGGAA
rnacentral:rRNA from 1 species